AUUGAACGCUGGCGGCAUGCUUUACACAUGCAAGUCGAACGGUAACAGGUUAAGCUGACGAGUGGCGAACGGGUGAGUAAUGCAUCGGAACGUGCCCGAUCGUGGGGGAUAACGCUGCGAAAGCUGCGCUAAUACCGCAUACGAUCUGAGGAUGAAAGCGGGGGACCGUAAGGCCUCGCGCGAUCGGAGCGGCCGAUGUCAGAUUAGGUAGUUGGUGGGGUAAAGGCCCACCAAGCCGACGAUCUGUAGCUGGUCUGAGAGGACGACCAGCCACACUGGGACUGAGACACGGCCCAGACUCCUACGGGAGGCAGCAGUGGGGAAUUUUGGACAAUGGGCGAAAGCCUGAUCCAGCAAUGCCGCGUGCAGGAAGAAGGCCUUCGGGCUGUAAACUGCUUUUGUACGGAGCGAAAAGGUCCUUUCUAAUACAAGGGGCUCAUGACGGUACCGCAAGAAUAAGCACCGGCUAACUACGUGCCAGCAGCCGCCGCUGUAA
rnacentral:rRNA from 1 species